rnacentral:rRNA from 1 species
AUUAGAUACCCUGGUAGUCCACGCCGUAAACGAUGAUUACUAGGUGUCGGUGGGUAUGGACCCAUCGGUGCCGCAGCAAACGCAGUAAGUAAUCCACCUGGGGAGUACGUUCGCAAGAAUGAAACUCAAAGGAAUUGACGGGGACCCGCACAAGCGGUGGAGCAUGUGGUUUAAUCCGAAGCAACGCGAAGAACCUUACCAAGUCUUGACAUCUGGAUGACGAGGACUUAAUCGUCCUUUCUCUUCGGAGCAUCCAAGACAGGUGGUGCAUGGUUGUCGUCAGCUCGUGUCGUGAGAUGUUGGGUUAAGUCCCGCAACGAGCGCAACCCUUAUCUUCAGUAGCCAGCGAGUGAAGUCGGGCACUCUGGAGAGACUGCCGGGGAUAACCCGGAGGAAGGUGGGGAUGACGUCAAAUCAUCAUGCCCCUUAUGAUUUGGGCUACACACGUGCUACAAUGGCGUAAACAGAGGGAAGCGAGCCCGCGAGGGGGAGCGAAUCCCAAAAGUAACGUCCCAGUUCGGAUUGUAGUCUGCAACUCGACUACAUGAAGCUGGAAUCGCUAGUAAUCGCGGAUCAGAAUGCCGCGGUGAAUACGUUCCCGGGUCUUGUACACACCGCCCGUCACACCAUGGGAGUCGGAAAUGCCCGAAGUCUGUGACCCAACCUUAGGGAGGGAGCAGCCGAAGGCAGGUCGGAUGGCUGGGGUGAAGUCGUAACAAGGUAC